CCUACGGGAGGCAGCAGUGGGGAAUAUUGGACAAUGGGGGCAACCCUGAUCCAGCCAUGCCGCGUGUGUGAAGAAGGCCCUCGGGUUGUAAAGCACUUUCAGUGAGGAAGAACGCCUGGUGGUUAAUACCCAUCAGGAAAGACAUCACUCACAGAAGAAGCACCGGCUAACUCCGUGCCAGCAGCCGCGGUAAUACGGAGGGUGCGAGCGUUAAUCGGAAUUACUGGGCGUAAAGCGCGCGUAGGUGGCUUGAUAAGCCGGUUGUGAAAGCCCCGGGCUCAACCUGGGAACGGCAUCCGGAACUGUCAAGCUAGAGUGCAGGAGAGGAAGGUAGAAUUCCCGGUGUAGCGGUGAAAUGCGUAGAGAUCGGGAGGAAUACCAGUGGCGAAGGCGGCCUUCUGGACUGCCACUGACACUGAGGUGCGAAAGCGUGGGUAGCAAACAGGAUUAGAUACCCUGGUAGUC
rnacentral:rRNA from 1 species